AGUGAACGCUGGCGGUAGGCCUAACACAUGCAAGUCGAACGGCAGCACAGUAAGAGCUUGCUCUUACGGGUGGCGAGUGGCGGACGGGUGAGGAAUACAUCGGAAUCUACUUUUUCGUGGGGGAUAACGUAGGGAAACUUACGCUAAUACCGCAUACGACCUACGGGUGAAAGCAGGGGAUCUUCGGACCUUGCGCGAUUGAAUGAGCCGAUGUCGGAUUAGCUAGUUGGCGGGGUAAAGGCCCACCAAGGCGACAAUCCGUAGCUGGUCUGAGAGGAUGAUCAGCCACACUGGAACUGAGACACGGUCCAGACUCCUACGGGAGGCAGCAGUGGGGAAUAUUGGACAAUGGGCGUAAGCCUGAUCCAGCCAUACCGCGUGGGUGAAGAAGGCCUUCGGGUUGUAAAGCCCUUUUGUUGGGAAAGAAAAGCAGCAGGUUAAUACCCCGCUGUUCUGACGGUACCCAAAGAAUAAGCACCGGCUAACUUCGUG
rnacentral:rRNA from 1 species